AGAGUUUGAUCCUGGCUCAGGACGAACGCUGGCGGCGUGCCUAAUACAUGCAAGUAGAACGCUGAAGAGAGGAGCUUGCUCUUCUUGGAUGAGUUGCGAACGGGUGAGUAACGCGUAGGUAACCUGCCUUGUAGCGGGGGAUAACUAUUGGAAACGAUAGCUAAUACCGCAUAACAAUGGAUGACACAUGUCAUUUAUUUGAAAGGGGCAAUUGCUCCACUACAAGAUGGACCUGCGUUGUAUUAGCUAGUAGGUGAGGUAACGGCUCACCUAGGCGACGAUACAUAGCCGACCUGAGAGGGUGAUCGGCCACACUGGGACUGAGACACGGCCCAGACUCCUACGGGAGGCAGCAGUAGGGAAUCUUCGGCAAUGGGGGCAACCCUGACCGAGCAACGCCGCGUGAGUGAAGAAGGUUUUCGGAUCGUAAAGCUCUGUUGUAAGUCAAGAACGAGUGUGAGAGUGGAAAGUUCACACUGUGACGGUAGCUUACCAGAAAGGGACGGCUAACUACGUGCCAGCAGCCGCGGU
rnacentral:rRNA from 8 species